rnacentral:lncRNA from 1 species
UGCAUGAUUUAACUAUGUUUGCUAUUGUAUAAACACAAGUUAUAUGCCCAGUAUACAUAGUGUUGUUUUAUUUAUAUAUAUUUAACUUUUUGAAGGACAAAUUUUAUAACUAAAUACAGGGGAAUAAAUAUUUAUUGCACCUAAAAUAAUCAUAAAACCCCGCAACAUUUUAUAUAUUAGUCACAAGGGAGUUGGAACUAAUUAAAAUUAACACUUCGAGCAUAUUCCAAUAGCACUGGAAUAAUAAUUUAAAGAAAUCAUCAUUAACCUAAUUCAGACAUAAAUUGUGCCUAUUUUCAACAUGUGUUUUCCAAGAGAUAAAUUAUUACUAUUUGUUAGAAAAUAUGUAUGUAAAAAAACAGAAAACAGCAAAAAGUCAAAGUAAAUAAUAAUGUGUGUCAUCCAUACUACGUGAGAUGCUUAAACUUUGUCAAUCUGCAUCCUCCAAGAGUAAAUGCUUAACCUCUUCCUGAUAUUAAUGAAGAAAAUAUUAGAAGUAAUUAAGUAUUUCUACUCAUACAUUAAGAAAAUCUUACACUAUUUAUAAAUUAUAACUCUAUGACAUAUAUAUUUAUUUUUAUGA